GACGAACGCUGGCGGCGUGCUUAACACAUGCAAGUCGAACGGAAAGGCCCUGCUUUUGUGGGGUGCUCGAGUGGCGAACGGGUGCGUGACACGUGAGUAACCUGCCCUUGACUUUGGGGUAGCUUCAGGAAGCUGGGGCUACUACAGGAUCGGAUAUCCUGCUCCAUGGAGGGGGUUGGAUAGUUUCGGCGGUUGGGGUUGGACUCGCGGCUUAUCAGCUUGUUGGUGGGGUAGUUGCUGACCAAGGCUUUGACUGAUCGGCGGCCUGGGAGGGUGACCGGCCACCAUGGGCCUGAGAUAGGGCCCAGACUCCUACGGGAGGCAGCAGUGGGGAAUAUUGCACAAUGGGCGGAAGCCGGAUGCAGAAACGCCGCGGUCGUGAUGACGUCUUUCGGGGUGUAAACCGCUGUCGCUUGAGACGAAGCGUUAGUGACGGUAAUGGGUAAAGAAGCACCGGCUAACUACGUG
rnacentral:rRNA from 1 species